rnacentral:tRNA from 1 species
GAAAUAUAUCAUAAUUAAACUUCUAAUUUAAUUUAUAGUGAUUUAACUCAUUAAUAUUUCU